UAAUACGUAGGGGGCGAGCGUUGUCCGGAUUCAUUGGGCGUAAAGAGCUCGUAGGCGGCUGACUAAGUCAGGUGUGAAACCUCCAGGCUCAACCUGGAGUCGCCACCUGAUACUGGUCUGGCUAGAGUCCGGUAGGGGACCACGGAAUUCCUGGUGUAGCGGUGAAAUGCGCAGAUAUCAGGAGGAACACCGGUGGCGAAGGCGGUGGUCUGGGCCGGCACUGACGCUGAGGAGCGAAAGCGUGGGGAGCGAACAGGAUUAGAUACCCUGGUAGUCCACGCCGUAAACGUUGGGCACUAGGUGUGGGGCCUUAUCAACGGGUUCCGUGCCGCAGCUAACGCAUUAAGUGCCCCGCCUGGGGAGUACGGCCGCAAGGCUA
rnacentral:rRNA from 1 species